GCCCAUUUUAAACUUUAAACUUGUCUUCCAGCCAUACCAUCCACAUUGACUUCCUGGUUCUGUGAGGCAGGGGUGCUUCGAAAUAAGAGCCUCAGCUGCUUUAGCUACUUCUUUGUCACUGGGGCCAUAUUUCCACCAUUGAGGCUGUGCUCGACAUCAUAAGAAAAUUGAGGAACUGGGAAGACAUCAGGCCAACUCUGCAAGCGUUCUGGGGCAUAAGGGAGUAUUUCUGUGUCUGAAGUUGAAGCUGACCCGGCAUCAGUCUCAGAUCUGUGUACUUUCAAUACAGCCUUCUCUGGCAGUUCUGAAAUGUCUGUUAGAAAGCAGAGUUGCCCCCCAAAGUCUGGGUCUUCAUAUUGGAGGUUGAAAUCAAAAUCAAGACGAGGUCUGAAUUUCUCUUUAAUCACUGUAAUCAACUCUUCUACUGUACUUGGGCGUGUAGAAAGGGUCAUCUUGUGGGCGAUGUCAGGAGCAAUGUAAACUCUAAGUAAAAGUUUCUGGGAUUCCGCCAUCUAGUAGACAAAAACAACAAGGUAAAUGACAAGUUAAAAAUAUAGUUUCGAACAAGAUGGACUGGACAUGGAUUUCCAAAUAAUGUAGAAAUCUUACCUUAUUGUAAAGGUAGAAAUCGCUUUGGCGUCAACAGCAACUUGCCCUCUAUACAGUAGGCAGAAAGGGGGGAUGUAUCACUCAAAUCUGUUAUUUUUUUAACAGAUAUAUCACCUAAACACAGAUUAAAGGCUCUUAGGUGUUCAAUAUAAUGGGACUUGUGCUCCCUGCAUAGGAAGGCCACAUGAUCGUUCACAAGGACGAUUGACUCAGUUUUACAAAACUGAGGUAACCCUGCUUCAAAACCAGCAGGAAAAUAUUCCCCAGUAGAAAUAUUUGUCCCAUCAAUGGUGAUUUGAGAUGCACAGUAUAUAGUGUUACUAUCAGUCUUCUGUUUAAUAUACUGUAUUGCCACUUCAGGUAGUGUUGAAACUAAAACAGAUGUCACAGUUGAUGCCUGCAAAUGUGGUUUGAAGAACGCUGGCGCACUUAGAUGGUAAGCCAUCAUAUGCUGGUGUCUGCUUGCCAGUGUCUUCAGCACAUUUUUAAAGUUCUGUGUAUCGUGCACAACCCGUUUGAAGAAGCGGUGUUUGCCUUCAAAACGCAUGGUCCAUAAAUGUACAAGAGGUCCAAAACAUCUGAUCAGCUCUGGAUAAUGUUCGACGUAGUGAUGCUUUGGCCUAAUCUUAAAAUCUGGAAAUACUUCAAGAAGAAUUUGCCUGUGGUCCCUAAUUUUACUCUGUAAAUACUGAAUCAUCUCUUCAGUAAAUGUUGGAGACAGCACUAACUCCACAAUGUCUUUCAAUUCCAUUAACACUGCCCAUGCACUAUCUCCCUCUGGUACAACACUGCCAACCAUGAAUGGAAGUAGCCGAAGUAAUGCAGCAUUUUCAUGACCAUUACCACCUAUUGUCAUUUUUGUGGUAUAAGUUUUGGAAAUUGGCUUGGGUCUAUCAACCUUAUCUGUAUGCUGAUAUGGGAAUGAUUCAAUUUUACUGUUCAAAUAAUCAAGUGUGAAGUGUUUCAGACGAAUCAUUUUUUGAAUGCAUAAAGCCAACUCUACUGGCACAAUACCUUCAAGGAGGUCAUGGAGAAUAUCAGGGGGGAAACCAGUGAUUGGAUGAAAAUACUGCAGCUUUUGUUUUAAGACACAGUCCCCUUUCACACCACAAUUACUUUCCCCAUUUCUACUGGAGACAUUCUGGACAUGCAGAUCAUGAGUUACCUUAGUUCUCAGACUGAAUUCACCCUCAGCAACUUCAUGCGAUUGAAACUGGUCUAGAGUUGCCAGACAGAAUCUGCACACAUACUCUGAACGGAAUGACUGUACAAAGCCUGCCAAUCCGUGAGCUGCAAGAUUAUCUGCUGCAACAAAAAGAACAGUGCCUUUAACAGAUUGACCAAGAGAUUCAAUGAACACACCAUCUUGUUCUAAUGUACGUAAGUCUUGCAUUAAAGGGCCAAGCACACUCUCAUAGCCACAUUUCUGGACAUCAGGAACUUUACACAGCAAAGCUAGCUGUAUCACAUGCAAAGCUGAUCGGUAUUUGCUAGGUAGAUCAGCAAGUACCCAGUACACUGAACAGAGUUUGUGUAUUUUCCUCGAAGUACCUAAUGGAUUUGCAACUUCUAUCUCAUCUAUGUAAAUCAGCAAUGGCAAUUUAAACUCCUCUGAUGCUGAUAACAGCUCAUUUUCUUGAAAAUACAAACCAUCUCGAUGAUUUGUGUAUUGA